AGAGACAGCAGUCGCCGCGGGAAUACGGAGGGUGCAAGCGUUAUCCGGAUUCACUGGGUUUAAAGGGUGCGUAGGCGGAUCUGUAAGUCCGUGGUGAAAUCUCCAGGCUUAACCUGGAAACUGCCAUGGAUACUAUAGAUCUUAAAUGUUGUGGAGGUUAGCGGAAUAUGUCAUGUAGCGGUGAAAUGCAUAGAUAUGACAUAGAACACCAAUUGCGAAGGCAGCUGGCUACACAACUAUUGACGCUGAGGCACGAAAGCGUGGGGAUCAAACAGGAUUAGAUACCCCAGUAGUCCCUGUCUCUUAUAC
rnacentral:rRNA from 1 species